rnacentral:rRNA from 1 species
UACGGGGGGAGCAAGCGUUGUUCGGAUUUACUGGGCGUAAAGGGCGCGUAGGCGGCGCGAGCAGUCGAUCGUGAAAGUCCGGAGCUCAACUCCGGAUCGGCGGUCGAUACUCUCGUGCUUGAGCACUGUAGAGGCAGAUGGAAUUCCGGGUGUAGCGGUGGAAUGCGUAGAGAUCCGGAAGAACACCGGUGGCGAAGGCGGUCUGCUGGGCAGUUGCUGACGCUGAUGCGCGACAGCGUGGGGAGCAAACAGG